CUAUUGUUUUUUGUUUCACAAGUGAGCAUAAAUGACUAGUUUUCCAUACUUGUUUAUUGUGAAAACACCUGAUGUAUGAAUGAUGGGGUUGUUUCUGCUUGCCACCCAUACCACUGUUUGUUUAGAUAUCUUACACAUGGAAUACCAAAUCCCAACAUAGUGGUAGCUACAGUUACUGGGGGCUGAAGAAACCCAAUUCAAAGUUGUUUCCUUUGGACACUAAAAGGGUCCCCAUCUUUACUUGUUGUUCAUUCCAUGUUGUGGUGUCCUUGGAAGUGCACAGUUGGAAAAGGAGGAUGAGAGGCAAAGCUUUCAGUGACACUUUCUGGGAAUUUGCAGAACAUUGUGGUCUUCAUCAAUGUGAACCGGAAGGAAGGAACAUCUAGCUAAGAAAAAGCUCCAUUUUUGGUGGAACUGGUUAUGAAAGCUCAGAUGUAAUGGUGAUAUAUGAGGUUGAGAGGCAGAGACAUCAACAGCUUGAGAAACUGUAUAGGUCUACUCGUGCAGGAAAGGAUUUUCAUAAAGAAAUUGCACAUGCAGCUGAAGCAUUGACAACAAUAGGACAUAAGCAUAUUGAAGCAGGUAAAUGUACGGGUGGCUUUGUUAGAAGGGAAUUAAUGGAAUCUAUUUUGAAACAGAUUGAGAACCGGGAACGAUCAUUCACCCAAACAAAUGGAAUGAACAACCUCAAAUUAAAAGGUAGGAAUGUCCAUUUU